rnacentral:lncRNA from 1 species
UUAUUUUUAAUAUCUGUGUAUUAUUUUAUUAUUAUUAUAUAAGUAUAGAUAAAGAUUGAAAAUAAUUUUUUAUUUUUUAUCAUAUUAUUUAUAUUUUUUAUACAAAAAUAUAAAAAAAUAAAAUUUGAUACGUAAUGUUGUGGAAGAUUAUUAUAUAAUUUUAUAUAUCAAUAUAAUAUUAUUUUAUUAUUAUUUUAUAGAUAAAUAGAGUAACAUUUUUAAGGCCAUCAUCUUUCUUUGUGGUCGUCUGCUAGCAUGACUUUUCACUCAUGGUAUCCAUUGGCUGCUCCACUUUCUUCGCCGCUCCAAGUCUUUGGCGGAG